GAUGCGGGAGUUUAUUACUGUCACCAGGGUGGUCACAGCUUCCCAUUCAUACAAUGAUACAACGUCGUACAAAAACUUCCCUCAGCUGGAGAGGAACUGAUCUGAAUCACCAGCUGCACAGAAACCAUAACACUAGAUAUUUCAAAAAAAUAACCACAUUGUAAUGUAAUGUAUGUAAAUGUACUUUAAUUAGAAUGAAACUCAUGCAGUUAAAAGUUGUAAAGUUACAUUUUACUGAAACACACUGAGAGGUUACAAUUAUAAGAAAUGUCAUUUUGUAAGUUUUCCUUUGUUUUAGGUGAGUAUUUUAUUUAAAUUCAAUGCACCUCCAUGUUGAUUUGUAAAAUGUGAAAUCACUUUCAUAUUUUGUUAAUUUGAUAUAUUCUGUGUUGUUGUUUUUUGCUGAUGAGUCUUCUCAUCAUAAAGGCUAAAAUAUUUUUUGUUUAAACUUUGGUAGAUGUAUUGACAGGACUGAGUAAAUUGUCUUCAUGCAAAUAAAACACUGAUGAUAUAGAUGUGAUGGAAAUUUGAUAUUUUGAUAUAUAUUUUGAAAUUUGAUAGGGCAUGCAAGCUGAAGAUUUAUACAAAGCGGACAAAGUGAGAAUAGCCAUCAAAAGGGGCUGAAGAACUCUGUAUUAACCAAUCACAGUACGAGAAAACGGACAGUAGGUGAGACCGGUGGACAAAAAUGGACAUUGGUACACAGAGAUUGUCUGGACAGAUACAAAACAGAUCCAAAUGGACUGAGCUGGAGGGGGCGGGAAACACACUAGUGACAGGAAACAACUGGGACACACACACACUGGGCUGGAGUGACCUGUACACACCCACAUUUUCAAAAAGAUUGUGCUGAAGGCCAACCAACAGAGCAACAGAGUGGUGGUAAAUGCAUUAGUGCACCCGUGAGCACUGCAGGUUUCACAGCUUUACAUCAAAGACUACACAUUUCUCUGUUGGUGAUUGGGCAAACGUCUGUUUUUAAAAUUUUAUAUUUCCCACGCGGCUGGUCGGUUUCCGUUCUGCAGUCCAUCACACACAGCAUGCUGAGAUGACCAUUGUGUUGCUAAAGCGGUUCGCCCACAAUGGCCUCACACAUGGUUAGUCUGUCUGUCUCUAAUUGCAAUUCGAAUAGACAGAAUAACUUAUCUGGGAAUGCGAUCACAAUGAGAGUAAAGCUCUCUCUCCCAAUGCAUUCAAGCCUUUUCAUCUAUUCCAGAACCAAUCACCAUAAAGAGGUGAUGAUGAUUUUAUGUACAAGAGAUCCUAUUACUAAAAAAGAUGAACAGAGAGAUAAAUCUCUCUCCCAUGAUUCAUGGUAAACUAACAGUGCACUUGACUAACUUGAACUGACGAAGCUGAGCUGACAGAGCCUCACUGACUGAAAUGGCUCUCUAUAGUCUGCCUGUACUCAGGUACUACAAACACAUGACCUACGUUUUUACUUAGGCUGCUGACCAAAGGACGAUCACAUGACCUGUUUUGACACUACAUCUUGGAAGCAGACCAGAUGCACGGUGCUUAUUGUCAUGUUGCUUGCUGUGUCUGUUGCUUUUAUGUUAUGCUGGAUGUUUCUUUGUGUGCUGCUGCUGUGUUGAUGAUAAAAUGUGAUGCGCGCUAACAGAUUGACGCCAUUUUUACAGGAAAAGACUGCUGCCUGCUCGUUCCUUGUUGUUUGAUGUUAUUGUUUAAAUCCCUUUUUUUAAACAUGGUCCGGAGUUUUGCCCAUGCACUCUCCUCCACAGAGAAAAGGGGGAACUGAAUGCAAAUCUAAGUCGCUCAGUGUUAGAGAUGGAAUGUAAUGUGAACAACAAGUCUGUGUGUGAGAUGUGUUAUCAGACAGCCUGGAAGCUCAAGGUUGAAACUCAUUCAGAGAGGUUUUACACACACAGAGCAGAGUGUCACCCAGAAUAACGUACCAUAAUUUGUUUUUAUUUACAGCGAAAUGAGGGACGUGAUCAUAUAAUUGAUUGAACUAACAUCACGUGAAAGAAUUACUGUCUUGUUGUCAUUGUUGAAAGUUUUCCCUCUCCUAAACAGGAGCAGCAGCCAGAGCCUAAUAUCUAACACUAACCAAUUCUUCUUCUUCCUUUUUAGUUUAGCCUUACUAGAAAACUACAGAGUGCUGGUGUUGCAAAACUGUAACUGUAUCACUAAUGAAAUAUUGUGGUGAAGCAAGACACUGGUUCAUGAAAGGUUUCACAACACACCCUCACAACUUUUGUCAAACAUGCUCAAUCUGCCUAAGACACAACACAGGGAGGGGAUUACAGGUUUCAUUAGCAGCACAUCCACCACCAGAUGAACCGUUUAACCACCUUAUGAGGGAGGUUUUUAGCUAAACCCAAGCAAAGAAGAAGUUUUUCUCUUUCCAGCAACAAAGCCGAUGCAGUCUCCCGCCAGGAGGUUUUGUGGUGGUUGUGGAGGCUGAAAGAGCUACAUGGAUACAUACCAGCCACUGCAGGAAGAUGUCUGCACCAGAACAGUUACAGAUCAACAAGCGUGCACAAUCAGCAACUGAACCACUGUUUUCCCUGACCUUGUGUUGUGAGUGAAGGAGGGAUUGGGAACGCUUAGGCACCCUUUGUCUCAGACUCACAGGCUGUUAGACAGCAAACAUCAACACAAGGGAGCUAGUGGGAAAACUCCUGGUCUCACCACUGCUGAUUUAAGAGUGAGUAGCAUGUUUGUCUCUGGAAGGAGACAUCCAUGGGACCCAGUCAGACACCCAGACAUGUGCGGGCCUACGAGGAACAACACAGAUGUUUGCUGCCAUUGCAAUAACAUUAACAGUUCCUCUGUUGCAGUUCUUAGAUCACAAGCAUGAUGCACAAAAGCCACCACAACAGAACACCACAGUGAACUACACACAGGCAUUGACAUCACAUAGCAGUGUUAGAGGCAAGAGAAGCACCCAAAGAGGCUGGGAUGCUUGGAUAAUUUUAAUAACUCCUCUUGUAUGUUUGUGCCCAACAAUACAGCUCCAGAUGGUUCGGUGACCCCAGUGCUGGAAGGAAUGCGUUCGCUACGAGAAGAACUUGCAGAGAACUCUGAAGUGGACACUAAUAUGUUUGACUGGUCUGAUUCUGUAUUUGCUAAAUAAAAAGCCUUAGUGAUGCCCAUACUAGCAGGCCUAAUGAUUGCUGUAGCGCUGUUACCUCUCUGUGGAUGUUGCAUUAUUCCAUGUGCCAGAGGUUUGACUGUAAGAGCUAUUGAUAAAUGUGUGUCUAUUCAAAUGAUCACACUCCAUGAACAAGUGAACAUGCCAUUGUUGCAGCAGCAGGACUGUGAUGAAAGGAAGGACCCAGAUUCGUUUUCUUGGUUAAACUGGUGUAGAUUACAUCAUGAUGCCUUUCUAUGACCUGAUGAUCUUUUUGUAAUGCUGUAUAUUCUUGAGUGAUCAAAGAAUGCUCACAAGGGAGGAGUAUGUGAUGGAAAUUUGAUAUUUGUGUUUACUGUUUCACCCUGCAUGCUUCAUCAGAAUAGACCAAUGUUUCACUGUGUGGUAUAUGCAACACUGACAUAAAAUCUUUGGUUUGAAAAUCUGAGAUAAGAACCAUCUCAUGUUGAAAGUACUUUAAAUUUCAUUUUUAAUCCUUGAAACUGUAUUGAGUAAUGUAGAUUUGUACAAACUACAUUUUAAAUGAAUUCAUGAAAACA